AAAAAAUCCAAUUCAGUAGCUGAUAUUAUGUCGAACUUUUGCACCUUAAUCAAUCUUGGGCUUGAUCCAAUAACAUUGUACGUAAGAGUUAAUUUGGGAUUCUGGUAAUAUUGAAAAAUAUGCAAGUUCAACCUAGAGGUUUAAAUAAGUCAAAGUACAAGUAUUACAAUGCUUGAUUUGAGUGGCUUGCAAACUUCAGUAUAUUUUAUAAUAUUUAAAUAAUAAUUUAUGAAUCAAGCUUGAACUCAAGCUCAAUCAAGUUAUUUGAGCUUCAUAUCGAGAUUAGAAAACAAAGUUGCCUAAAUUAUAAUUGUGAUUGAGGUUUAGCUUGAGCAUUUUGAGUAUCCCAUUGCGUUCAGUUCAAGCAUGAAUUAUAAAUUUGAUUGAGCUUGAGUUGGAAUAGUACAUUGUAUAGAUUAUUGACUAAUCUCAGCCCGAUUACACCCUCAGUCCAAUCUCCAGACAUAUAUCCAGAUAUUGAGUUUUGCCGGUGACAGAAAGUAGCAGGAAUUCUCAUGACUCCAUAGUGAUUUCUUAGGUUUUUGUAUAAAUUCUAAAUGUUAUGCUCACUUUUGGCGUAUGAUUUUGGCAUUAUCUAGCUGCCUUUCAUGGUAUAUAUUGCUGCUAUAUUUCACUUCUAAUAAUAUAGUCAUCUCCUUUUUUGCAGGUUGGCAUACAUAUUUCUGGAU
rnacentral:misc_RNA from 1 species